rnacentral:rRNA from 1 species
GGGGAAUAUUGGACAAUGGGCGAAAGCCUGAUCCAGCCAUGCCGCGUGUGUGAAGAAGGUCUUCGGAUUGUAAAGCACUUUAAGUUGGGAGGAAGGGCUGCAAGUUAAUACCUUGUAGUUUUGACGUUACCAGCAGAAUAAGCACCGGCUAACUUCGUGCCAGCAGCCGCGGUAAUACGAAGGGUGCAAGCGUUAAUCGGAAUUACUGGGCGUAAAGCGCGCGUAGGUGGUUUGGUAAGAUGGAUGUGAAAUCCCCGGGCUCAACCUGGGAACUGAAUCCAUAACGGCUGGAUUAGAUUAGGGUAGAGGGUGGUGGAAUUUCCUGUGUAGGGGUGAAAUGCGUAGAUAUAGGAAGAAAAACAAGUGGGGAAGGCGACCACCUGGACUGAUACUGACACUGAGGGGCGAAAGCGUGGGGAGCAAACA